AAAGUCGUAACAAGGUCUCCGUUGGUGAACCAGCGGAGGGAUCAUUACCGAGUUUACAACUCCCAAACCCCUGUGAACAUACCUUAUGUUGCCUCGGCGGAUCAGCCCGCGCCCCGUAAAAAGGGACGGCCCGCCGCAGGAACCCUAAACUCUGUUUUUAGUGGAACUUCUGAGUAUAAAAAACAAAUAAAUCAAAACUUUCAACAACGGAUCUCUUGGUUCUGGCAUCGAUGAAGAACGCAGCAAAAUGCGAUAAGUAAUGUGAAUUGCAGAAUUCAGUGAAUCAUCGAAUCUUUGAACGCACAUUGCGCCCGCCAGUAUUCUGGCGGGCAUGCCUGUUCGAGCGUCAUUUCAACCCUCAAGCCCAGCUUGGUGUUGGGAGCUGCAGUCCUGCUGCACUCCCCAAAUACAUUGGCGGUCACGUCGAGCUUCCAUAGCGUAGUAAUUUACAUAUCGUUACUGGUAAUCGUCGCGGCCACGCCGUUAAACCCCAACUUCUGAAUGUUGACCUCGGAUCAGGUAGGAAUACCCGCUGAACUUAAGCAUAUCAAUAA
rnacentral:rRNA from 1 species